rnacentral:rRNA from 1 species
ACUCAAAUGAAUAGACGGGGGCCCGCACAAGCAGUGGAGUAUGUGGUUUAAUUCGAAGCAACGCGAAGAACCUUACCAGGGCUUGACAUACCUCUGACGUAGUUAGAGAUAACUAUUCCCUUCGGGGCAGAGGAUACAGGUGGUGCAUGGUUGUCGUCAGCUCGUGUCGUGAGAUGUUGGGUUAAGUCCCGCAACGAGCGCAACCCCUGUUGUUAGUUGCCAUCAUUAAGUUGGGCACUCUAGCGAGACUGCCGGUGACAAAUCGGAGGAAGGUGGGGACGACGUCAAAUCAUCAUGCCCCUUAUGUCCUGGGCUACACACGUACUACAAUGGCUAUUACAGAGGGAAGCGAAACCGCGAGGUGGAGCGAAUCUCCAAAAAUAGUCCCAGUUCAGAUUGCAGGCUGAAACUCGCCUGCAUGAAGUCGGAAUUGCUAGUAAUGGCAGGUCAGCAUACUGCCGUGAAUACGUUCCCGGGCCUUGCACACACCGCCCGU